rnacentral:lncRNA from 1 species
AUUGGCCCGUUUAUUUAUGUCUGUCCCCUUGGACUUGAAGGAGAAAAGCUGAUUCACUUCAGUUGGCGUUCCCAAACGCCCGUGAUUCCAUGAAAUUCAAUCCAUUGCUGCUUCUGCUGUUCUGAUCGCGAACCCCAAAUCCCAAACUCCUAAGCCCAAAUCAGAUGGGCAGCAAAAGCAAAAGCAAAGAGAAGAAAGCAGUUGGAGGACUCAAUCGACGACGAUAAAUUACUUUGGUUGAUUAUAUUUGCUGUACACGUUCUUCUUAGACAGGGUGUGCUUGGUAUUAAGAUGCAGAUCAUGCUCGACUGGGAUCCUAAGGGAAAGCAGCGACCAAUGACUCCAUUGCCUGAUUUGGUGACCAUCCACACCCCCAAGGAAGAACAAUAUCUUCCAGUUCCACCCGCAGAAAUCGACCUAGAGCCAGUUCCAGUUCCAAUAGCUUCAAGUGAGUUUUGAUUCAUUUGUAAACUUAUACAUAUAGGAAAGGAAUUGGUUGUCCUUUUCUGCUGCGAUUUUCAGCGAAUGAACUUGUUUACUAGUCUAUGGAUUUAAAAAUUAGUAUUGAAAUAAAUGUCUAUGCAAUAUGACAAUGGGGUUCUGCCAAUUUAUGACAGCCUUUUCUUUUUUUCUUUUUCUUUUUUUAAUAUUCAAUUUUCACAAGAAAACAUGAGAUGAACAUAUGGUGUCCUGUAGCUAUGAGAAUUUGCAAUUGAAACAUAUUCUUUUGCAAUAGAAUCAAUAAUUUGCAACCUUAGUUCAUAUUUGGCGUUUGUUCAAAACUACACUAGUACUUUUGUAACACCAUUGAAUAAAAUUCUAUGCGUUGCAUCUAUAGGUGCUCUGAAAUUGUGUUUUUGUUUUAGAAAUAGGUAGUGUUCAAUUGAAGAAAUAGUGAUAGUAUCCCUUGUUCAGUUCUAUAAAUAAUCAGUGUUUAGUUUAAGAAACAUUAUUUAUGAAACUAUAGAAAAUUACCCACACUAUUUCAGAAAAUUGAAUCAAAAUUACACACAUUAUUUUUGGAAGAUAACAAAAUAAACACUAUUUCUGAAUCAAUAGCAAAAUAAUCCACACCAUUUCUGAAACUGAAACAAAAUAACUCACACUAUUUCUGAAACUACAGCAAAAUAACCCACAUUAUUUCUGAAACUGAACCAAAAUAACUCAUAUUAUUUCUGGAACCACAAGAAAAUAACCCACAUUAUUUCUAAAACUAAACCAUAAUAACCAACACUAUUUCUGGAAGGGAACAAAAUAAACAAUAGUUCUGAAACUACAACAAAAUAACCAACACUAUUUUUGAAAUUGAACCAAAAUAAGCAACAUUAUUUCUGGAACUACAACAAAAUUACACACUAUUUCAGGGAAAAAAAAACUGAACUAAAACAAUCCACACUAUUUAUAAAAGAAAACAAAUUUCUGAAACCACCACAAACCACAAACCUACACUGUUUAUGAAAUUGAACCAAAAUAGCUCACACCAUUUCUAGAACUACGGAAAAAUAAUCUACACUAUUUUUAGAAUAACAACAAAAUAUACAUCCAUCUCAUAGAUGAUGGAUUAUAUGUUUUUUCUUAAAAUAAAUGAAUAUGUUUUGAAUUAAUUAAUUAAUUAAAUCUUUUUGCCCGUAAAAAUCCGAUGUUGGUCCCUUGAAGGCCAAAGGAAAAUAAGCAACCAUUGGGCCUUAAUUUCCAGGGGAUAGAAAAAGUAGAUGAAUGAGUAUUUAUCUCCAAAGUGGUUCAUCUAACACUAAGAUAGGACCCGCACCAACCCCAAGACUAGAAGAAACCGAUGAAGGGCUUAAAAUUUCUAUCCACUCUUCGAACUCCAUCUGCCUCUUGUAAAAUCGGGCCCAGUUAUCUUGAAAGUGGUCUAUCCACUCCUCGAAAAAAAAUUCUAGUGGUUCAAACUCUUUUCAUUAAAACUCUAAAAAUUAAAAGCAUUAAAAGUAUUAGAAGUUUUAAUCAAAAUUAUGGACUCCGUUUUUCACUUAAGGUUCUGUCCAUAUAAAAUCUUCAUAUGUGCGUACAUACACUCUGUAUUCAAUGAGGCCCUAUACUUUAGGGACUCAUUUUCCGAUUCAUUAGAGAUUUAUUUUGUUCCUAUAUUUAUUUUAUAAAUAUUUAUUAUAAUAAUUGUUCUUAUUUAGGGAUUCCACUGAAGAAGUAGAUAAUUGAAACUCUUCCUACCAGUGCCACCUUUAACAUGUCACCCCCCAGGACCAGCCAAAUAUAAUAAAUCUUGGUUUAUAAUUUUAUAGUGGGUGCACAAUUAUUACAAAAGCCAAAAAAAGGCAUGGACCAUCGUGCAGUUUUUACCAUCUUAAAUCUACCUCCAGAAAUGAUCUCAGUUCUUAUUCUUAUUCUUUGGUAAAGCGAAGGACUUUGUAUGUUUACUCUGGGAAAAGGAUUCACGCCGGAUCCUUUUCCUAGGGAUUAAGUGAUCUCACCCGUUUAUCGUAUAUCAUGUGAUCAGUUUUCGUUAGGUACUAUUUAUAUUUAAUAUUAAAUUUUAAAUUUUGAAAUGAUUUAUGGCCGCACGAUGUACAAUGAACAGAUGAGAUCACAUGAUCCCUAGGAAAAGGAUCUGGCGAGGAUCCUUUUCCUAUACUCUAGUCCUUUUGUAUUUGUACUAAUGUAAAAACUGAUAUACGACAAAAUAUGGAUCAAUUCUGACGAAGAAAGAUAAAGAAAAUAAAAUAUUUUAAAUUCUGAAAAAGAAGAAUUAAAGUUCGGAAAUAUUGAAUUCAAUCUAUAUGGUGACAGAAAAGGCAUUAAGAAAUAUUUUGGUGUCAAAAUUAGGCAUUUAAUAGUCAAUCGAUAUAAGGAUAUAUUAUACGCUCAAUUCUAGCACCAGAUAGUUCUUACUACCUUUUUUGUCACAUAUUGAUUGAAUCCAAUAUUUCCAAACCUUAAUUCUUCUUUUUCAGAAUUUGAAAUAUUUUAUUUUCUUUAUCUUUCUUCAUCAGAAUUGACCCAUAUAUUAUCCUAUAUCACACUCCUCCACUUGAAUCGAGUUCAUAUUGCCUCUGACAUCAAGAAUCACGAACCUAGAUAAGCACGUAUACUCUUUAACAUGAGGAGCCAGAUCUUCUUCGAACUUGGAUUGUACAGCCAUGUAGUCGAUUCCCUAAAUAAGAUUUGAAUAUGUAGUUGACUCAUCUUGUUGUCUGGGUUCACUUGCUUGGUUUGAUGAUGCCAUAUAUCCUACUACCUUAUUCGUCAUGGAAGCUAACUUGAUUGUCUUCUUCUAGUAUGGCUUCCUCUUCAAUCAUGACACACUUUUAAUGGCGAUUCUACUUCAUUUUCUUGAAUUUCCUCCUCCAUCUUUUCUUGGCAUAGGGGAUCAUCAAAUGAUUUUUACUCACCUACUUUGUCUUUGAAAGUAGCAUUUUCCGUUCUUAGAAGAUACGAAUUAUAUUCAAACGAAAAUCAUAACUCUACAAUAACUUUCUCUUCAUCCUAGGCCAAGAUCGGAUAUGAUUCUUUCCUUCUUUCUUUUGUGUAUUUUGCAAACUAUCCCACCAAAAAACAAUAUUUUCCUUUAAAUGAAAAACAACCUGUUAACACAGGGCCCUUUCCAAACCCAAAAAUAGUACGAGCCCAAAGAAACAGCGGUCCAAAGGAAGAAAGAAAGGAAGGCCCGAAGGAAGGAAGCGAGACCAAGGCCUAGCUGGAAAUAUCUUGGCCAUUAUUAAUUAUUUGAGACAAGCUGAUGUCAACUCAAACCCUAGAUAAAUUGGUCCAAACCCGUUAGAUGAUAAUGUAAAAGAAGUUUUUGAUGCAAGAGUGACCUGUCUUAUUAUUAGUUUGGUACUGAGACAUUUUAUAAAAAAAAAUGGAUAUAAAAAAACUGAAUUCAAAACGAUGUUUGGUAAAUAUUUAAAAAUAACUUAUUUUUACAGUUUUAGAUGAAAAUAAGCUGAAAACAUGAAGUAACAAAAAUGAACUUAUUCUCACUGUUGAGCAAAAAUUGUACAUAAUAUGUAAACAAAUAAUUCACUCGACACAAUUUCACCCUCAUUCAGUUUUCCGAAGAGGGUUUUAUUAAUUCGAGUUCGACCCAUUCUAGGCUACACGCCUAUUAAUUACAAUCUUUCUUUUGGGAAAGAAAUACCCUUUGAUUCCAAUUCGAAUAAAAAUGUAACUUGAGGAAUUUGAUGUUUGUUUGAUUUUGUGACUGCACAUAGGUUGAACCCUAGAUUGCCUACGUACCCUCUUGAGGGAUCAAGUCACUCGUAGUUCAUGGAUUUGUUGGGGUUUGAUGCUUUGUGCAGUUUCAGCUCGUGCAGGCAAGGAGCAUUUGAUGCCUUGUGCAGUUUUAGCUCGUGCGGGCGAGGACUUUAAGCCAUUGGAGCUAUAUGUAACUUCGUGAUUUUUGAGACUUGUUGCAGCUUUGUGUCAUUUGAUAAUUGAUACGGCUUCGUGCCAUUUGAGACUUUUCUUCGGCUUCGUGCCAUUUUGGUAUUUGAUAGCAGGAGUGAAUUUAGUUUAUAUAAACCAGAGAUUCGUCUUGAUUUCACGGUUGCGUCUAAAACUUGAUAUCAGACUGCCUACGUAUCCUUACGGAAUCAAACCGGCGUAGUUCAUAAUUUGAAUGAAUUUUGUGUUCAGAUUUUUAGGAAAAUGAGGAGCCAUAUGGAUUGGAUUUGAAUAAUUAAUAGGUAAUGUAAAUGACCCAUUAAUUUGAGUAGGACAAACUGGGAGGUUUUUUUAGGACCAUGUCACAUCCACUCUUUCUUCUCCACUUGAGCGAACUUCCCGUGAAAUACUUAGUUCAAAGUGGAAUGAGAUUUGCUUUUCCUUUCAUUAGAAAAUGGGACUCAAAGUCUAUCCCACGUGAGGUGCAUAGAUCAAAACUCAUUUAGAGAACCUUUUUUUUUAUAUUUUCAACCCCAUUAAUAAAAGAAUGGGAUUUUGAACCCACUUUGAAUUUUCAAACUUUCUGACAAAAAAAGCUUUUGCUCCUCCCUUUUUUCUAUAUGAUUUUUAAAGCUUUUAAGUUCAACCACUAUUCUUCCAUGUGGGCAAAACUUCACGUGAGGUGCAGCCUUUAUUCACCCUUUUUUAUUUUUGGUGUUGCUUCCAUCCAAGUGAUGCUUCCUUCCAUCCUUCUUUUAUUUCUCAGACAAAAAGACAUAACGGCAGCAACCGACAUCUUUCAGAGGUUUUGUUUUUGUCCUAUUUCUUUGCCGAGCCAAUAAUUAUUUGAAGUAUGCUAUUGUUGGGGCUUUUGUAAUUGUAAGAAGGCACCCUUUUCUUUUUUGACUUAGUAGUCUCUCCUUCUUGUGACUGACGAGGAUGGGUAGUACGGAGAUGCAAUUUUGGGCCAACAUCGACGGAGCCAUUAAGGAGUGUAGAUUGAUCUUUGAAGUUGUGGUGAACAGAGAGGUUCCUGGAAACAAAUAUCAACUGUGGCAGAAAGAGUUUGCCCUUGUGGUUGUUGUUGAAGGAAAGCUUCAGCUUGGCGAGGCUGUCGAGCAGCUUGCAAGAGACCUUGUGGAAGAAGAUGGAGGAGUCGUUGUCGAACUCGGAAGUGGGUUGAACCGAAGGCCUCUUGGGGAAGCUGAAUACGAAGGGAGUCCUAGAAGAUGUAGCUUGCAGAGACGGCGGCGGUGCUUGAAAAUGUCUUCAUUGGUGUUGUCAAAGUGUUUAGUGAUUGACGACGUCGCAGCGGGCUAUUGUCAAAGUCCAGGUGAGAAGGCAGUCCUCCGGUUCCAGUUUGUCGCGAAAAGUGAGAGAGCUUCGGAGCCAUCACUAGGCACAGUGGUUUGGCACUGUUUCUUCAUGCAAGUCGUACUUCCAAACUUCUUUAGGCACCCAUUCCUUCAUUGACGCGACUUCUUUCGGGUUCUUCUGGUUUUAUGCAACACGGCAUGACCAAACCCAUCUCCUUCAAGCCGUAUCCUCCAUUGACCUUCGGGUUCUUCUGGUUUUAUGCAACACGGCAUUACCAAACCCAUUUCCUUCAUAUUGCGGAGUGCAUGGGCUCAUUCUGGAAGAGCACCGGACGGCUGGAGAGCGGUAGUGUUGCGGUUUGGUUGCUGCAACUUGGGAGGACGUUGGGGAAUGGUAGAGGUAAGAGAAGCAAAUUGCUUCUUCUUUUUUUUUUUCCUGCGAAACCAAGAGAAACCAAACAAAGAAAAUUUUAGAAGGAUGGAUUUGUACCUUUAUAUGCUUUGUUGCUUGUAGUUUGCUCUCCUUCUUUGAAGGGCUUGGUUUGGAGUCACCGGUAAUGGAAUUACUUCGUCUUCUCGUCCGGUAUUACUUCGUUGCUUCUUUCCUCCCUCAAUUUCUAUCUUAAUUUCUGCAGCGUCUCUUCUCCCUUUUUUCUGUUUUUCUUUUUUCUUUGCUUUGGUUCGAUGCCUUUUUAUAGGCGAACAGUGGACAUGGCAGUUGAAGUUUAGUGGGAUGCAACUUUCCUGGGGUGUGGAGAUGCUGAGAGAAAACCAUCUCUUGAGUGGAGAACGUGGGAGUUUUAGAGGGUUCUAGAUACACACAUUCUCUAUACCCGGUUGCCAUGUAGAUGACAAACUCCUUCAGACUUGGUGUAUGUUGAGGUCCACGUGUGCGGGUGUAGUUUUUUUUUUCUCUCUUUAUUUCUUAUAUAUAUUAUAUAAAUAUAGUAUACAUAAGAAUAUAUGCACACACACACAUAAAGUGAGCCUUAUUUCUAGUCAGUCCAUAUUUUGGACUAUUAUUAUUUUAAAGUCUCCCCAUUUUUAUUAAGAUUUGCUAAUAUAUUUUGUUUAUGAAAAUAUAUAGCUCAACACUCACAGCACAACAAAAACAAUUUUUUUUUCAAAACACAGCAAUACCAAAUCAGCCCUUAAUUGAGCUUUCGCGUGCAAAUAUGACCAAACACAAAGGGAUGGAUCAAGAUACACGUAGGGGUGUUUUGUGGGUGGUUGGACGGCCACGUUGUUCAAACAUCCACGCCUAGGAAUUUCUCCAGUGGGUGGGCCUGCUGAUAGGAAAUAAACGUUAGAUCACAUUAGUUGCUUCCCAAAGAAAGUCAAAUCUCCUCAACGAACCCAGUAAUGAAGAAGCUGACUCCUCUUUUAAACACUGAAUACAACAAACAAACUACAAUGGAAAACGAAAUCAGUAUUCAGGAUUCAGUAUUUACAACAAAAUGGAGCCUUCGUAUACUUACUGUACGAAUUUUUUGUUUAAAUUCCUUCCCGGGUUCUUUCUCUUAUGCAUGAUCUCGUGCCUGGAAUCCACAUUCGGAAACAAAUCUGAUCGUCUCGCUCUGCUGGACUUCAAGAGGAGAAUAACAGAAGAUCCUCUCCAUAUCAUGAACUCAUGGAAUGAUUCGGUCGAUUUGUGCAGUUGGGUUGGCGUUACGUGCAACCAUGCGAACAAAAGAGUCAUGAUCUUGAACUUGGAAGCUCAAAAGUUGGUAGGCCCCGUACCGCCUUCAAUCGGAAAUCUUACUUAUCUUAAUGGAAUCAACUUGAUAGACAACAACUUUCACGGCGAAAUUCCUCAAGAAAUCGGACGUCUACUAGGCUUGCAGUAUCUCAACCUGACUUCGAAUUCUUUCGGCGGGAAAAUUCCAGCUAAUAUAUCUCACUGCACGCAGCUAAGAAUGCUCAAUGUUGGUUCAAAUAAGCUGAUUGGGUCAAUUCCGAACCAACUCAAUUCGUUGUUGAAUUUAGCCCAUUUUUUGGUUGGUAAAAACAAUCUCACCGGAACAAUUCCGGAUUGGAUAGGAAACUUUUCUUCCAUGUCUGCAAUCUCUCUUGAUAACAACAAUUUUGAAGGAAGCAUACCAUAUGCGCUCGGGCGGUUGACAAGCUUGGGAAGCUUCGAACUUGCAUCAAACAAACUUUCCGGUACGGUUCCUUCUUCAAUCUAUAAUAUAUCGUCGAUAUACUCAAUUCAUGUUACCAACAACCAGCUGCAUGGAGAGCUCCCACAAAAUGUGGGGACUACUCUUCCUAAUCUUGAGUUAUUUGCUGGCGGUGUCAACAAAUUCACCGGAAGUAUUCCUGUUUCUUUGUCAAAUGCUUCUAAACUUCGAUUUCUUGAUUUUGCCGAAAAUGGCCUCACGGGAAAAUUCCCUGCUGAAAAUUUUGGAACUUUGAAAGGGUUGGUGAGACUAAACUUUGAUGCCAAUAGGCUGGGAAGUGGGAAAACAGGUGACCUGCGUUCUCUCAGUUUUCUGGCCAAUUGUACUGAUCUUGAGGUGUUAAGUUUUAGUCGUAAUCGUUUUGGAGGGGAAUUGCCAGAGUCCAUAGGCAACCUUUCGACAAAACUGAGAAUUUUUACAAUGGGGGGAAAUUUAUUACAUGGAAGCUUCCCUACCCGGGUUGUGAAUCUUGUAAACUUGAUCAAUCUAGGAAUGGAACAAAACUAUCUUGGUGGUAGUGUCCCUGAUGUGAUCGGUAAGCUUCAGAAGUUGCACGGGCUGUAUUUGAAUCUUAACCAAUUCUCUGGGACAAUCCCGUCCACGCUAGGCAACUUGACUUCAGUCACAAGGCUCUUCAUGGAGGGGAAUAGGUUUGAGGGAAGCAUAUCUCCGAGUCUCGGGAACUGCCAAAGCUUAUUGAUGCUUAACCUUUCUAGUAAUCAGCUAAGUGGCACCAUACCUAAAGAGGUUAUCGGGCUUUCAUCUCUAUCAAUUUCUUUGUCCAUGUCGAACAAUUCUUUGACUGGUUCUCUACCAUCUGAAGUGGGCGAGUUGGUACAUCUCUCGGAGCUAGAUGUAUCAGGAAACAAGUUAUCGGGUGAAAUCCCCAUAACCCUCGGCAGCUGUACUAGUUUGGUGAGCCUACAUUUGGAAGGUAACCAAUUUGAAGGAACAAUUCCUCAAUCUCUAGCCAACUUAAGAGGCUUGGAAGAAAUAGAUAUUUCACGCAAUAAUUUAUCUGGCCAGAUUCCUGAAUGUUUAGGUAAGCUUGGAGCUCUAAAGCAACUCAAUAUUUCCUAUAAUGAAUUUGAGGGUGAAUUGCCCACAGAAGGGAUAUUUUCAAAUGCGAGUGGUUUCUCGGUUCUUGGAAAUAAUAAGCUCUGCGGUGGCAUCCGAGAAUUACGUCUACAUGUAUGCACCAGCAAAAAAUCUCAUUCAUCUCAAGGACUACUUGCCCCGAAAGUAAUAAUCCCUCUAACUUGUGUGCACUUGCAUUAAUAAUUACUCUGUCAUGUUUCAUUGCUUCUUGUGCAUUGGUGAAAAGGUCAAGAGGUAGACCUUUAACUUCACGUUCUAAUGAAGAAUCAAAAUCAGGUGUCUCCUAUUUACAACUCGUUGAAUCAACCAAUGGGUUCUCUCCAGAAAAUCUCAUUGGUUCGGGAAGUUUUGGUUCUGUAUACAGGGGAGUACUCUCUGGUAAUGGCAUCAUAGUUGCCGUUAAGGUGUUAAACCUUCAACAAGAAGGAGCUUCCAAGAGUUUCAUUGAUGAAUGCAAAGCUUUAAGAAGUGUAAGGCACCGCAAUCUUCUCAAGAUCAUAACUGCAUGCUCGAGCAUUGAUAGUCAAGGUAAUGAGUUCAAAAGUCUAGUUUAUGAGUUCAUGGAAAAUGGAAGCCUGGACCCUUGGCUGCAUCCAAGGGAUGACGAAGAAUCUCCAAACAAGAGAUUGAGCCUUACCCAAAGACUGAAUAUUGCCAUUGAUGUCGCUUCUGUACUAGAUUAUCUACACCACAAUUGUGAAACAUGCAUUGUUCAUUGUGAUUUAAAGCCAAGCAAUAUUCUUCUUGAUGAAGAUAUGGUUGCUCACGUUGGUGACUUUGGCCUAGCAAAGUUCCUCUUGGAGGCAUCAAAUGGUACAACCUUGUCAGUAGGGCUAAAAGGUUCCACAGGCUACAUUCCUCCAGGUAUGGAUUUCUUUGAUCCUCAUUUGUUAUAUUCUUUUAGCACUAAAGAAAUUUCAAAUAUGCUAUAAAUUCUAAGCAUGAACUAUUUUGAAUGGCAGAGUAUGGGAUGGGAGGACAAGUCUCCACACAAGGAGAUGUUUAUAGUUACGGGAUACUGUUGCUAGAAAUGUUCACAGGAAAAGGCCAACCGAUGACAUUUUCAAAGAUGGUCUAAGCAUUCACCAAUUCACCGCCAUGGCAUUGCCGGACCAUGUCAAGGAAGUAGUUGAGCCCUCAUUGCUCCUCGAAACAGAUGACGAAGAUGUUGAAGAUGACGAUGGCGACGGAUAUGGGAAUAAAAUACGGGAAAGACCACUGGCCAAAUACAAGGAUCCCGGCCCGGACAAAGCAAAAAGACGGGAGGAAUGCUUGUAUUCGGUGAUACAAAUAGGCAUCUCGUGCUCCGCAAUAUCACCAGGAGAGCGGAUGCGUAUGGAUGUGGUUGUCAACAAAAUGGGUGCACUUAGAGACUCAUAUCUCAACUUAAGAAGAAGAAGAUGAUGACGAUUGCAAUGUGCAAAACCAGGCUAAGUUUCUUUACCUAUUCCAAUCUAUAUAUAGCUUUUAUCUGUAUGCAAUAAAUUAUCUGUAUAAAUGUAUGUGACAUCAUGUAAGAUUGAAUCAAUAUUUUAUCACUAUAUAUAUUUGUCUCUUCAUAAUCGCAGGGCUUGGAAUUUGGUUGGUUUAAGAGCAUUUCAUGAUUGCACCUGAACUACGUCAAUCAUUUUAUGCUUUCAAGUCGAAGUCAUUCAUUUUCGACAGGAAGUUUUCAUUACAAUUUGUGAGAAAUUCUAAUGAACUACUUAAUCUCACAACUUUAUAAACCUACUGGAAAGUUAAUUAACACCAUGUGCUAAUAAGUUGGUUUGAAAGUCAGGUUCGUAUCUUUGCUUUAUGGUUUGCAUUGGUUUGAAACUCAAGUUUGUAUCUAUGCUUAAUGGUUUCAAAGUAUGUUGAAUUAUCUGUAUUCGCCUGUGUGUGUGUGUGUUUUUUUUUUUUUUUUUUUGAAUUGGUUGAAUUAAGAUGUACAAUUUUUAGAUUAAUCUAAUUAAAAAUGCACUAAGGAAUGAAGAACCCGCAGCAACACGCUGGCCAAUUUUCUAGUAAUGUCCAUUAUGUGUACGGAAAUUAUAAAACCCUUAGCAAAAUGGUAGCCUCGUAUGAGCUAGAAAUAUCUUGGCCAUAUUAAUUAUUUGAGACAAGCUGAUAAGUUGUGAUGCAAACUGAUAGCUCGUUUGAAUAUACUUUUAAAGUAACUGAAAGCGUUUUUGGUGAAAAUAUUUUUGGAAUCAAUCUUUAGUAAAUAUGCAAAUAAAAUUUGGAAAAGCAUUUUAAGUGCUUUUGAAACCAAAAAACAUUUUCUCUAAAAAUGAUUUCAAUCAUGUUAAAAGCACAUCCAAACAAGUCUUAUAAAUGAUAGACCUUAAUGUUUCCUAACACGUCUUAAUUGAGCUUUUGCGUGUUUCCUAACACGCCUUAAUGUUUCCUAACUCCGAUUCUGAGUAUUUCAAUCAGGCAGUCUUGAUUCGGUACAUCUUUUAGCUGCCCCACGAUACAAUUCUCGUUGCAAGUUGAUUCCUCAUCCUCUCUUUCCCUCCUUCAACAAACAACGGGUCUAAAACUUCGGAUAUUUGUUCAGGCAGUGCUUUGCUAACAAAGUUAUGGAGUUGUAGUCCGUCAUUAAAAACGUUGUAGGUGGGCCUUUUUCCUAUGAACAUGUACAGCCAGGAAUUGUCGAGGUGAGGCAAAAUUUAAUAGCGUAAAGAUGAGCCAAGAACAAACCCAGGUUCCAAAUCCACCCUCACACAGAUAAGCCAAGAACAGUGCUCAGAUUCUUGCUCACGGACAAAUGCAGAAAAGAGAUCAAAAAACGGCUAUUACAUAGAGAUCAAUACUGGCAAACAUUUCGGCAAGCUAGUACUGGGCUUUAUCGAGAUUUCAUAUCAUAUGGGCUUUGUGUAUAGUAGGCCCAGAAGGCUCUUUUAGCCAUCUAAAGAAAAUGUGUAAACUGUCUAUUUAGUUUCUGAAUUAUCAGCUUGGUGAAAAUUAGGUCCCUAAACUUUUUUUUUUUUUUCAGAAAAUUCAGUUCUUGAAUUGUAAAAAUGUGUCAAUUUCAUCCCCAAUAUUAUAUUCAAAGCUACUAUAUUCAAUUUUCCGUCAAAUUUUAAGUCACGUUACUUGUAUGUGAUACACAUUGGAGGGUAGAUUGGUAAUUUUUCAUAAAGAAAUAGUGUAUGGAGUUAAGAUGAUAGGUUCGCAACAUAUAUGAAAUGUUAAGGGUUUAUAGGCGAGAAAAUUACAGUAUCACACUAUAAAGUGUGUCAAGUGACGUAAGUUAACAAAAAAUUGGAUAAAAUAAAUUUGAAUAUAAUAGUAGGGAUGAAAUUAGCAAUUUUUAAUGAAUUUAGGGACUUAUUUUACCAAACAAUAUUCAUAGACCUAAUUUCAAGGACUAAAUUGGCACUUUACCCAAAGAAAAUUAUAGGCACUCUCUCACAAGGCUUUCUCUAGUGUGUACAUCGAAAAUGCACGUUUAAAUUACACAUUUGAACAAGAGUUAUUAAAUUAUUUGAUUUAACAAACUCUAACGACCCUUGUUCAUAUGCGUAAUUUAAAAGUACACUUUUAACGUGCAGGGGAGAAAAUUCAACUUCCUGACUCCAUUGAGCCAUUGAUUGGGGGAAGAAAGUUGCCUCAACCGGAAACAAAAACUCCAAUAGCAGGAUGUAAAAUAUUCUUCUUUGCUGCAAUAUGUAAAUAAAAAUACAAAUUUACGUCUUUUUACAUCUUUUAAAAGUGGGCACAACCUCAAAAUCAAUUGUAACUUUUCCAUUCAAAUUUGCUUCCUUCAGUAUUGAAUUUCUGAAUAUUUAAGACAUGUGGAUAAAGAUGCUGGUAGAGUAUAACCCAUACUGUUUUUUAAAGAUUUAGAAAUCUAGUCAUUCCAAGCUCAUCAAGCGCAAACCUUAUCUAGAACUCCCAAAAAAUGGGCAAAUUCUUUAUUAUCAUGAUUAUUUCUUCCUCGCACACACCCUCAUUAUCUUCUUAAAUAACUUUCUCGGCAGGGCCGACCCAGGCCCAGCGCCACAGGGGCAGCUGUCCAGGGCCCCAAAUUGAAAGGGGCACCAAAAAAAAAACCCCCAAAUAACUUGGUAUAUAUAUAAUAAAAUAAAAAAGUCCAAAGCCCAAAUAAGGGCUGGAGGGCAAGAGCUCAUGAAAGUUUUAAAAAGGGCCCAAGUUUUGGGACCACUAGGUCCAGGUUUUGGGAAUUACAGCAAAAAAAAAAAGCAAACAAAAAAACAAAACAAAAUCAGACAUUAGACUAUUAGAGGGAUCACUUGAUCUCCAUUUUACAACCCUUUCCCGAUUUCCCAUAACCUUACAACCCUAAUUCCUACCCUGGCCACCCCCUUUUGUUCCCCACUUCCUCCCUGUCGUUCCUUAGUUCCUGACUCCCUUUUCAAAAGUUCAACAGCAAGCUGUUGCACACAGGCAAACAGCAGUCACAUAACAUUGGGCAUUGGCUGCUCAAGUGCAAGAGCAUUCACUCACCACCAACCCCUUUGAGUUUUGAGGUAAAUUAAUUUUUAAAAUUUGAAUUAUCAAUUCAUAAUUUAAUAUAAAAUUUUUCAAGUGAUAUAGAAUUAUAUGAUAAUUGAUGUAUAGAAUUGUUGUUGAUGAAUUGAAUUCUUGACUAAUUUAAUUAUUUGAUUUCAUUUCAAACCCAAUUUUUGGGUUCAAUUUUUAUAAUAUGUUAAACUUUGUGUUAGUGUUUUUAUAAUAUAUAAUAUGUGUUGAAAUGAUAAUUUUGAUAGGAUAUUUUUGUUAUAUCAUGUGUAAGUAAUUUUUACAAACAAAUUAUCGAAGCCAUUAUUUUAGGAAAUAACUCUCUAGUAAUAUGAAAAGGAAAAAAAAGGCAAAGGAUAACGAAAUUGCCCAAAGUUUAAGAGGAUCUCUUAAUAAAUUCCUCUCUACAAAGAAUAAGUCAGUUGAAAAUUUGAGAGAAAAUGAAAUUGGUGAAGAGUCACAAAAUGUUGUUGGGGAGUCUCAUGAUCCUGAAAAUGGUGGUGAUUUAGAAGAAAAUGUUGGUGAUGAGUCUCAAGACCAUGAAAAUGGUGGUGAUGUAGAUUUAAAUAUUGAUGAUGAUCAUAUUGGUGUAGAGAAAAAUAUUGAAUCUCCUGAACCUAUUUUCCAUUUAAACAUUUAUGAUCCAAGAGUUUGGGAUGGUCUUAAUACAGAAUUGAGAGACUUACUUGUAGAAAAUGAAUCAAUUCGAGAAACUAAUCUCACUUAUCGUAAAGACAAACUCUCUAGAAAAUUUUCCUCACACUACUAUGAUCGAAAAUUACCAACGGGUAAAAUUUAUGAUAGAAAAUGGAUAGAAAAUGGCUCGUGUACUCAAGAGUUGGAUAAAGUCUUUUGCUUUUGUUGUAACUUGUUUAAAACAAUUGACUCAAAAAGUGAGUUAGCAAAAUAUGAAAUUAAUGAUUAGAAACAUCUUGGUGUGAAGCUUGACCAACAUGAAAAGAGUAAAGAGCAUCUCAUUAAUUCGAGAACUUGGGUUGAGUUGAAAAGUAGAUUGACAAAAAAAAUCAGACAAUUGAUAAAGAAUUUCAAAUGCGAAUCAAGAAAGAGACAAAUCAUUGGAAACAAGUGAUGCUCCGAAUUAUUGUUGUUGUGAAAUGUCUUGUCAUACGUAAUUUGAACAAAUGAAAGACCUUAUGAAGACUCUAAUAGCAACUUCUUAGGUUUACUUAAAAUGAUUGCGGAGUUUGAUCCAAUAAUGCAAAAGCAUUUUCAACUCAUUGGGAAUAAAGCGAUUCAUCAUCACUAUUUGAGCCAUAAAAUCCAAAAUGAGUUGAUAACUAUUUUAGCUUCAAAAGUCAAAACCGCAAUCAUUAAAAAGGUAAAAGAAGCAAAAAAAAUUUAUGUCAUACUUGAUUGUACUCCUGAUGCAAGUCAUGUAGAACAAAUGAAUUUAAUUUUGAGAUGUGUUGACUUGUCAAGUAGGUCAAUAAAUAUAAGGGAGUAUUUUAUGGAGUUUUUACGUGUGGAAGAUACAUCAGGACAAGGACUUUUUAAUGAGUUGCAAGAUGUCCUAAAGUCUCUUGAUCUUGAUAUUGAUAAUGUGAGGGGACAAGGUUAUAAUAAUGGAUCUAACAGGAAAGGGAAACACCAAGGUGUCCAGAAAAGAUUGCUAGACAUAAAUCCCAGAGCCUUUUACAUGUCAUGUGGUUCUCAUUGUUUUAAUUUAAUAGUUUGUGAUAUGGCAAGUUCAUGUCUUAAAGCAAAAUAUUUUUUUGGAGCAUGUCAAUGCAUGUAUACAGUGUUUUCCAACUCUACAAAGCGUUGGAAUAUUUUGCUUGAACAUAUUGAUGAUUUAACUUUGAAGUCAUUGUCAACUACUCGAUGGGAAAGUCACAUUGAAAGUGUUAAAGCAAUUAAAUCCCAAGUAGCCUAAGUUAUAAAUGCUUUGUUUACGUUGAUGGAAAUUAUUAAGAAUCCCCAAUUGAGUAGGGAUGCAAGAUGUUUAGCAUCAGGAGAACUUUCCAGUUUUGAUUUUGUAUUAAGUUUGGUUAUUUGGUAUGACAUUUUGUUGAAGAUUAACAUGGUGAGCAUAAAAUUACAAUCUGAAGACAUGCGUCUUGAUGUUACUGUAAAGGUAUUGAAAGCACUUGUUAACUUUUUUGAAAACUACAGAGAAACUGGUUUUGCUUCUGCCAUGCGUGAUGCUAAAGAAAUUGCACUUGAUUCAGAAAUUGACCAUGUUUUUCAAACUAAACAUUAUAGACCUAGAAAAAGACAUCAUGAUGAAGUUGAUAGUAACGAGAGGGAACAAUAGUCUGCUGAAGAAUCAUUUAGAACAUAUUAUUUUUUUGUUAUAGUGGAUAUUGCUCUUUCUCAACUGAAACACAGAUUUGAACAAUUAAAGACUUUUGAAUCUAUUUUUGGCUUCUUGUUUGAUGCAUCGAAGUUAAUUUCAUUGGAUGAUCAACAACUAAAAGAAAAUUGUAUGAAUCUUGAAGCACAUUUGAAAUAUGGAAAUACCAUGGAUGUAGAUGAAGCCGACUUAUGUUCCGAAUUACAGUGUUGCAAAUGAUGUUACCUAAAGAAACAUUUCUCUCUAAUAACCCUUGGACAUCCAUGGAAAUAGCAAAUUUUGUAAAAGAAACUGACAUGUGUCCUAAUGUCUUGAUUGCUUAUCGUGUACUGUUGACUAUACCUGUGACCGUGGCAUCUGCAGAAAGAAGUUUUUCAAAAUUGAAAUUAUUAAAAUCUUGCUUGCGGACCACUAUGACUCAAGAUAGGCUAAAUGGAUUAGCAAUCUUAUGCAUUGAAAAUGAUAAGAUUGAAGACUUGGAGUAUGAUGAUAUAAUUGAUGAUUUUGCUUCAAAAAAUGUCAGAAGACAAUUUCUUAAAAGUUGAAAUUUCAAGAAGCUUUGCUAGGAAUUGAUGUAUAUGAUUGAUGCAUGGGGUGGAGCUGUUAGCUAGGGCAAUUGGGUUGGAGCAACAGCCGGUCCACCGGGCUAUUGAAUACAGUGGAGCUGCUCUUAAGAACUUCCACCACCACUUUUGAGUACUCAUUUAAGGAUUUAAAGGGAAUCUUUGUGUCCCUAAAGGAAUAUUGCCUCCAAUGGGAGAGUCCUUAUAGUAGAAUCCUUAAAUUUGAAGUUUUUAUGAUUUUAUGUGAUAAUUUGAUUAGGUGCACAUUUUUAUUUAUACCUUUUUUUAAUUAAUUAAAAACAAUAAAAUUAAAAAAAAACUAAUAAAAAUGAUUUCAAAAUUUGAAUUCUAACAAAAAAUCAUGUAAUAACUUUAUUUAAUGAUUAGAAUAAAUCCCAACAUCAAAUCAAUUCAAUAAAACAGGCCCAAACAAAGUAAUUUAUUGAGAUUCCGAUUUUACCCCCUAACGUCUUUUAUUGGCCCGUUUAUUUAUGUCUGUCCCCUUGGACUUAGAGGAGAAAAGCUGAUUCGCUUCAGUUGGCGUUCCACAACGCCCGUGAUUCCAUGAAAUUCAAUCAAUUGCUGCUUCUGCUGUUCUGAUCACGAACCCCAAAUCCCAAACUCCUAAGCCCAAAUCAGAUGGGCAGCAAAAGCAAAACCAAAGAGAAGAAAGCAGUUGGAGGACUCAAUCGACGACGAUAAAUUACUUUGGUUGAUUAGAUUUGCUGUACACGUUCUUCUUAGACAGGGUGUGCUUGGUAUGAAGGUGCAGAUCAUGCUCGACUGGGAUCCUAAGGGAAAGCAGGGACUAAUGACUCCAUUGCUUGAUUUGUUGACCAUCCACACCCCCAAGGAAGACAAUAUCUUCCAGUUCCACCCGCAGAAAUCGACAUAGAGCCAGUUCCAGUUCCAAUAGCUUGAAUUGAGUUUUGAUUCAUUUGUAAACUUAUACAUAUAGGAAAGGAAUUGGUUGUCCUUUUGGGCUUCGAUUUUCAGCGAAUGAACUUGUUUACUUGUCCAUGGAUUUAAAAAAUUAGUAUUGAAAUAAAUGGCUAUGCAAUAUGAUAAUGGGGUUCUGCCAAUUUAUGACAGCC